rnacentral:rRNA from 1 species
GACGAACCGCGCGAACGUUGUUCGGAAUCACUGGGCUUAAAGGGCGCGUAGGCGGGCCCGCAAGUCAGGGGUGAAAUCCCACGGCUCAACCGUGGAAGUGCCUUUGAUACUGCGGGUCUGGAGGGAGGUAGGGGCGUGCGGAACUUCCGGUGGAGCGGUGAAAUGCGUAGAUAUCGGAAGGAACACCGGUGGCGAAAGCGGCGCGCUGGACCUCUACUGACGCUGAGGCGCGAAAGCCAGGGGAGCAAACGGG